rnacentral:rRNA from 1 species
GAUGAACGCUAGCGGGAGGCCUAACACAUGCAAGCCGAGCGGUAGAGUUUCUUCGGACACUUGUGAGCGGCGCACGGGUGCGUAACACGUGUGCAACCUACCUUUAUCUGGGGGAUAGCCUUUCGAAAGGAAGAUUAAUACCCCAUAAUAUAAUGAUUGGCAUCAAUUAUUAUUUAAAACUCCGGUGGAUAGAGAUGUGCACGCGCAAGAUUAGAUAGUUGGUGAGGUAACGGCUCAUCAAGACAAUGAUCUUUAUGGGUGCUGAGAGGGAGAUCCCCCACGCUGGUACUGAGACACGGACCAGACUCCUACGGGAGGCAGCAGUGAGGAAUAUUGGACGAUGGGUGAGAGCCUGAUCCAGCCAUCCCGCGUGAAGGAUGACGGUGCUAUGGAUUGUAAACUUCUUUUGUACAGGGUUAAACCUACCCUCGUGAGGGUAGCUGAAGGUACUGUAAGAAUAAGCACCGGCUAACUCCGUG